UCCUUGGUGGUCUAGUGGUUAAGAAACUGCAAUGCCAAUGCAGGGGACACGGGUUCGAUCUCUGGUCCGGGAAG
rnacentral:tRNA from 1 species